GUUCAUUGCCACUGAGAGCCCAUUCUCCCCGCCACCAACCGCACACCCCACCAGGCACGCACGGGGGCUCAGCGGGCGAACUGAGUUUGACAGGCAGCAACACUGUGCUGACAACUGGGGUGUGGUGAUUUAAAAACAACGACGAUGACGACGACAACAAAACAACAGAACAGGUCAUUGCAAGCUGCACUACCCCAGCCAAAUCAUGAGAAAUUUAGAGUGAGUCAGGGGACAAAAUAGUAAAGAGUCUGGAUGCACAUUGGAGAGGCCACUAGGAGAUAGCAACACCCAACAUCAGCUCCGUCCUCAUGGAGUUUAAUAAUCUAGUGGGAGAAGCAGACCCUUGGAGCCAGCCCAGCUGUGUCCCAUCGGUUUCAAGGAAUUAGGGCCCAGCUGUCAGUAUUUUUUUAAAUGCUCUGCAAGGU